GGCGGUUGUGCUGUGUUUGCAGUGACAGAGCCUGAUGUUCAAAGCUUGGCUUCAUCCAGUUGCUUUAAUGGGAUAGCAAGUGAAUGCCUGCCUGCAAGCUACAGCAGCCAUGAUGCCAAGUCUGCUAAGGAAGCCUGCAUUUCAGAGAUUGGGCUGUACCCCUGUACCCAAAAUGGCUGUACCCCUGAUUUGCCGAGGCUUGGAACAACAAUCAAAUGAUUGAUCCAUUUCACUACACAUCCAUAGCCUCUUUCAGGCCACAUAUCCCUGAAGUCUCUGUAUAUAAUGCUAUGGUUGCAGCUGAAUUUUGUGAUGACAGCUCUCCUGCCUGGAUUUCUGGAGCCUAGAAAGAAGAGAAAGUAGAACCUAGAAGGCCCAGAUGAAAUCGGAGCCACACUAUGCAAGGCUGCCUACAAACACAUGAGGUGACUGGAUGCAAAGGGCAGAAUACACUGUGUCUUGUAAAUGGCUGAUGCAAGAUCCCUGCAGUGGAAAAUGGAAGCUCCAGAGGAAUUGAGAUUCCAAGAUGACUCUGAGACACAACUAUUUCCUGGUGUUGUUCCAUAUUCAGGACUGAGCCUAACGACACAAUCUAACCCUAUUUUAGUUUGCCUUUAAACCUUGCAUAUUUACUAGCUUUCAUUUUGCUCUAACGUGUGCAUUUUUAUUUGAAUUUGUUUUGUAUUCUUAAAAUCAUUGCCUAUUGUCUGAUUAAAAAUCAAUUUUCUUU